rnacentral:lncRNA from 1 species
CAAUUCAGAACUCCUCUGGACAAUUCAGAAAUCUUUGAGAAAGCACUUGACCUUUAUAUACCAGUAAGAACAACAAUUAACCACUGCUUCUAACAUUUAUUGGGUGUUUGCUAAAACAGGCAAAGCAGAUUAAGUACGUUUCAUUUACUCCACCCUAUCCAGUGAAGUAGGUCUACCAUCUCUAUUUUACAGAUGAGUAAAUUAAAGCCCAGCGAGGUUAAGAAACUUCCCUAAGUUCAUAGUUAUUAGAUGGCAGAACUGAAAUUUAGAUUCCUAUGGUCUGGCUCCAGACCUUAGACUCAGCACUACAAUUUACUGCCUCAAGUACAGUCCAAGCCUAGAUCAAAAAUGCCCAUUUAAAGCACAGCAAAGGGGAUCCCUGGAUGGCUCAGCAGUUGGGUGCCUGCCGAUCCACCCAGGGCGUGAUCCUGGAGUCCUGGGGUCAAGUCCCACAUUGGGCUUCCUGCAUGGAGCCUGCUUCUCCCUUUGCCUGUGUCUCUGCCUCUCUCUGUGUCUCUCAUAAAUAAAUAAAAUAUUUUUAAAAAUAAGUAAAUAAAGCACAACAAAGUGCUUUAGAUCCUAAACCCGUAAGCUGAAUGAGACCAGCAACAGCUCAAGAACUAUCCUGUAUCCCCAUACAAACAUAGACACUCCCUAUCACCAGUCUUCCCCACCACUCUUAAACAACACCAUAUUCUGCUGCUUAUUGACAAAGUGAUUUAUAUUAUUUUACAGGUCCUUUCAUUUUAUUUUUUUUAAGAUUUUAUUUAUUAUUCAUGAGAGAGAGAGAGAGAGAGAGAGGCAGAGAGACACAGGCAGAGGGAGAAGCAGGCUCCACGCAGGGAAGCCUGACACAGGACUUGAUCCCGGGUCUCCAGGAUCACGCCCAGGGCAGAAGGCAGAUGCCCAACCACUGAGCCACCCAGGGAUCCCAGGUCCUUUCAUUUUAAAGAGUGACAAAAUUUUCCACAUACACCAAAUGGAAGGUAAAUUUAAAUCCUGACUUAAAACCUAACUACAUAAAAUUGCAUUAUACUAAACUACAUUACUUGUUUGCAUUCUAUUUGUUUUUUUUUUUUUUUAAGAUUUUAUUUAUUUGGGGAUCCCUGGGUGGCGCAGCAGUUUGGCGCCUACCUUUGGCCCAGGGCGCGAUCCUGGAGACCCGGGAUCGAGUCCUACGUCGGGCUCCCGGUGCAUGGAGCCUGCUUCUCCCUCUGCCUGUGUCUCUGCCUCUCUCUCUCUCUCUCUCUCUCUCUCUCUCUGUGACUAUCAUAAAAAAAAAAAAGAUUUUAUUUAUUUAUUCAUGAGAGACACACACAGAGAGAGGCAGAGACACAGGCAGAGGGAGAAGUAGGCUCCAUGCAGGGAGCCCGACGCGGGACUGGGUCCCGCGUUUCCAGGAUCAUGCCCUGGGCUGAAGGCAGGCGCCAAACCGCUAAGCCACCCAGGGAUCCCUGGAAAUUUCUUUAAAAAUUUUUUUGUAUGUGGAUAUCCAGUGUUCUUGGCAUUUUAGGUAUGUUCCCACACGAUGUUGAUAUCAAUAAAGUUGAUACUUUGAAAUGCACUAUAGUUGCACAUAUGCAAAUAAUUAAGGAUAUACAAUUAGAAAAACAAAGAAAUUCUUAAUUCUAAAAAAAAAUGAACAAUAGAAAGAAUAUGUAAUCAUAAUACAUUAGUUGGCUG